rnacentral:rRNA from 1 species
AUUGAACGCUGGCGGCAGGCUUAACACAUGCAAGUCGAGCGGGGUGAUGGUGCUUGCACUAUCACUUAGCGGCGGACGGGUGAGUAAUGCUUAGGAAUCUGCCUAUUAGUGGGGGACAACAUUUCGAAAGGAAUGCUAAUACCGCAUACGUCCUACGGGAGAAAGCAGGGGAUCUUCGGACCUUGCGCUAAUAGAUGAGCCUAAGUCGGAUUAGCUAGUUGGUGGGGUAAGGCCUACCAAGGCGACGAUCUGUAGCGGGUCUGAGAGGAUGAUCCGCCACACUGGGACUGAGACACGGCCCAGACUCCUACGGGAGGCAGCAGUGGGGAAUAUCGGACAAUGGGCGCAAGCCUGAUCCAGCCAUGCCGCGUGUGUGAAGAAGGCCUUAUGGUUGUAAGGCACUUUAAGCGAGGAGGAGGCUACUUUAGAUAAUACCUAGAGAUAGUGGACGUUACUCGCAGAAUAAGCACCGGCUAACUCUGUGCCAGCCGCCGCAGUAA